rnacentral:rRNA from 1 species
GGCGGCGUGCCUAAUACAUGCAAGUCGAACGAGGUCUUCGGACCGAGUGGCGAACGGGUGAGUAACACGUUGGUACCUACCCCGAAGUGGGGAAUAACUGGCCGAAAGGUCGGCUAAUACCGCAUAAUACCGCAAGGUUAAAGUAGUAAUACGCUUCGGGAGGGGCCUGCGUCCCAUUAGCUUGUUGGUGGUGUAAUGGACCACCAAGGCGACGAUGGGUAGCUGGAUCGAGAGGUUGACCAGCCACACUGGGACUGAGAUACGGCCCAGACUCCUACGGGAGGCAGCAGUAAGGAAUCUUCCACAAUGGACGAAAGUCUGAUGGAGCAACGCCGCGUGCAGGAUGACGGUCUUCGGAUUGUAAACUGCUUUUAUAUGGGAAGAUUAUGACGGUACCAUAUGAAUAAGCACCGGCUAACUACGUGCCAGCAGCCGCGGUAAUACGUANGGUGCAAGCGUUAUCCGGAAUCACUGGGCGUAAAGCGUGCGU